UGGGGAAUAUUGGACAAUGGGGGGAACCCUGAUCCAGCCAUGCCGCGUGUGUGAAGAAGGCCUUAUGGUUGUAAAGCACUUUAAGCGAGGAGGAGGCUCUUUUGGUUAAUACCCAAGAUGAGUGGACGUUACUCGCAGAAUAAGCACCGGCUAACUCUGUG
rnacentral:rRNA from 1 species